CGCCCACCCACCACGGUGGAUCUAGUGCUGCCUCGUAAAGUGGCCACAGGGCUUUAUGUCAGCGGUACCGCUUCCUUAAACAGGCCUUGGGAGCCAGUGGCUGCACACUGCCCUCUCACCAUCAUAGGAAAGAAAAUGUGUAAGCCAUCAUAAGAAAGAAAAAUCAGCUAUGGAUAUCCUGUGUUACAAAUUUGGCCUGUGACGACUGAGGAGAGAGGCUAGGAUGCAAAGUAUAGAAUUACAAAGGAUAUUUCCAUCAUCCAGGGGCAGCAGGCAGCGAGUGGAGCUGAAGGUGUGCCUCACCCAGUUUCAGUGAUCAGCUCCCCUUGAUGGUGACGGGCACCAGGCGAUUGAUUGGGUUCCCAAAACUGUCCAGGAAACAGAUGAGUGUCAGACCAGGGGGGUCCGUGAAGAGUCCACAGAGAAGGACCACUGAUAAUCUCACCGAAAGAACUUGAACCUGCUCUGGACUGGGACCUGGGAACACCGAGAGUUUGCACCUUGUGGCCUGCAGCAGCUGCCCCAGCACCGGAGGGACUGAUAACAGAGCGACCACUCCCAAGAGAGACUUUCUGAAUUUGUCAUCUUUUUUCAGAGUGGUGUCAUCUGUUAUUGUUCAUUUUGUGUGCUGGGGGGUGCUGUGCCUAUUAAAUAAACAGGUUCUUUCCACUUC